GGGGGAUAUUGCACAAUGGGGGAAACCCUGAUGCAGCGACGCCGCGUGUAGGAAGACGGUCCUCUGGGUUGUAAACUUCUUUUAAGGGGGAAGAGUAGAAGACGGUACCCCUUGAAUAAGCCACGGCUAACUACGUGCCAGCAGCCGCGGUAAUACGUAGGUGGCAAGCGUUGUCCGGAUUUACUGGGUGUAAAGGGCGUGUAGCCGGGAAGGUAAGUCAGAUGUGAAAUCUGGGGGCUCAACCUCCAAACUGCAUUUGAAACUACUUUUCUUGAGUAUCGGAGAGGUAAUCGGAAUUCCUUGUGUAGCGGUGAAAUGCGUAGAUAUAAGGAAGAACACCAGUGGCGAAGGCGGAUUACUGGACGACAACUGACGGUGAGGCGCGAAAGCGUGGGGAGCAAACA
rnacentral:rRNA from 1 species